rnacentral:lncRNA from 1 species
CCAUGGUAAUUCUGACACUGUCAGCUGCAAACCAGUAUUAGGAGAUCACAGCUCGAGGUUCCUUCCAAUCCCUGGCUUCUGUGAUUCCAGAUUCUGAGAUUCCCUGCGUUGGAAAGUCAUUUUAGCUAGGCCAGCACUGCCACCGCUGGCCAUGGCGAGGCUGGGUCCCAGGGAGGGGAAGUGACGUGCCCAUGGCCUCACAGAUAGCUUGCAGCCAGAGCUGUAACCGGAGCCCUGCCUAGGCUGCCAGGCCAGGUUCCCAGCCCCCUGCCUGGCCAACUUUGUCAUGCCCAAGGAAUUCCCAGCUGUCAGAAAUGGGCGGGGACCGCAGGCGACUGCAGGGAGCCAGCUGUAGGUUCAGGCUAAGGCCGGCUGUGCCCGAGGGGCACAACACCUGAGUGGAGAUGAGCAGCCCAGGGGCGCCCUGCUGACCCGCACCCUUCCCAGACCACAGAGGGCGAAGAGGUCGCUGACUGGAGCUGGUCUGCUGAGGGCCUUCAGGAAGCCUCCGGGGUGCCCAACACAUCAAGAGAGCAUCUCACGCUGGGCGCCUGCGUCUCCAGUCCUCGUGGAACCGUACCUGUGAGAAGGUGGAGGACCCUUCGGCACAGCCGCUGCCUGCCCCAGGGGUAGGGGCUAAUCUUGAGGGUGGGUCUUUGGAAUGGAGCAAGUAGAGGUGAGGAGUGAGGGGGAACGGGGUGUGUUCUAUCCUAUGCUUUGUGAUGAACUCCUAGUCCCAUUUGAGGGAGGGGAAAACUGAGGCUGGGUACGAGAGACUUUCCCAAGAUCAUCUAAUUUGCAGCAGAG